rnacentral:rRNA from 1 species
GAUGAACGCUGGCGGCGUGCCUAAUACAUGCGAGUCGAGCGAACAGACGAGGAGCUUGCUCCUCUGACGUUAGCGGCGGACGGGUGAGUAACACGUGGAUAACCUACCUAUAAGACUGGGAUAACUUCGGGAAACCGGAGCUAAUACCGGAUAAUAUAUUGAACCGCAUGGUUCAAUAGUGAAAGACGGUUUUGCUGUCACUUAUAGAUGGAUCCGCGCCGCAUUAGCUAGUUGGUAAGGUAACGGCUUACCAAGGCAACGAUGCGUAGCCGACCUGAGAGGGUGAUAGGCCACACUGGAACUGAGACACGGUCCAGACUCCUACGGGAGGCAGCAGUAGGGAAUCUUCCGCAAUGGGCGAAAGCCUGACGGAGCAACGCCGCGUGAGUUAUGAAGGUCUUCGGAGCGUAAAACUCUGUUAUUAGGGAAGAACAAAUGUGUAAGUAACUAUGCACGUCUUGACGGUACCUAAUCAGAAAGCCACGGCUAACUACGUG